AACGAACGCUGGCGGCAUGCCUAACACAUGCAAGUCGAACGAGACCUUCGGGUCUAGUGGCGCACGGGUGCGUAACGCGUGGGAACCUGCCUUUAGGUUCGGAAUAACUCAGAGAAAUUUGAGCUAAUACCGGAUAAUGUCUUCGGACCAAAGAUUUAUCGCCUUUAGAUGGGCCCGCGUUGGAUUAGCUAGUUGGUGGGUAAAGGCCUACCAAGGCGACGAUCCAUAGCUGGUCUGAGAGGAUGAUCAGCCACACUGGGACUGAGAUACGGCCCAGACUCCUACGGGAGGCAGCAGUGGGGAAUAUUGGACAAUGGGGGCAACCCUGAUCCAGCAAUGCCGCGUGAGUGAUGAAGGCCUUAGGGUUGUAAAGCUCUUUUGCCAGGGAAGAUGAUGACUGUACCUGGAGAAUAAGCCCCGGCUAACUUCGUGCCAGCAGCCGCGGU
rnacentral:rRNA from 1 species